rnacentral:rRNA from 1 species
UACGUAGGGUGCAAGCGUUGUCCGGAAUUAUUGGGCGUAAAGGGUGCGUAGGCGGCGCGGUAAGUCGGAUGUGAAAUCUCGGAGCUUAACUUCGAAACUGCAUUCGAUACUGCCGUGCUUGAGGACUGGAGAGGAGACUGGAAUUUACGGUGUAGCGGUGAAAUGCGUAGAUAUCGUAAGGAAGACCAGUGGCGAAGGCGGGUCUCUGGACAGUUCCUGGCACUGAGGCACGAGGCCAGGGGAGCAAACGGG